UACGAAGGGGGCUAGCGUUGCUCGGAAUCACUGGGCGUAAAUGGCGCGUAGGCGGCGUUUUAAGUCGGGGGUGAAAGCCUGUGGCUCAACCACAGAAUGGCCUUCGAUACUGGGACGCUUGAGUAUGGUAGAGGUUGGUGGAACUGCGAGUGUAGAGGUGAAAUUCGUAGAUAUUCGCAAGAACACCGGUGGCGAAGGCGGCCAACUGGACCAUUACUGACGCUGAGGCGCGAAAGCGUGGGGAGCAAACAGG
rnacentral:rRNA from 1 species